rnacentral:rRNA from 1 species
GUGGAGCAAUCCAUGAGUAAAGUGGCGUACGGGUGAGUAACACGUGGAUAAUCUACCUCUUAGUGGGGAAUAACCAAGGGAAACCGUGGCUAAUACCGCAUAAGCUCGAGAGAGGAAAGCAGCAAUGCGCUGAGAGAGGAGUCCGCGGCCGAUUAGCUAGUUGGCAGGGUAAAAGCCUACCAAGGCAUAGAUCGGUAGCCGGCCUGAGAGGGCACACGGCCACACUGGCACUGAAACACGGGCCAGACUCCUACGGGAGGCAGCAGUGGGGAAUCUUGCACAAUGGGGGGAACCCUGAUGCAGCGACGCCGCGUGAGCGAUGAAGCCCUUCGGGGUGUAAAGCUCUUUCGGCAGGGAAGAUAAUGACGGUACCUGCAGAAGCAGCUGCGGCUAACUACGUGCCAGCAGCCGCGGUAAUACGUAGGCAGCGAGCGUUGUUCGGAGUUACUGGGCGUAAAGGGUGUGUAGGCGGUUGUUUAAGUUUGGUGUGAAAUCUCCCGGCUCAACUGGGAGGGUGCGCCGAAUACUGAAUGACUUCGAGUGCGGGAGAGGAAAGUGGAAUUCCUGGUGUAGCGGUGAAAUGCGUAGAUAUCAGGAGGAACACCGGUGGUGUAGACGGCUUUCUGGACCGUAACUGACGCUGAGACACGAAAGCGUGGGUAGCAAACAGGAUUAGAUACCCUGGUAGUCCACGCCCUAAACGAUGCAUAUUUGGUGUGGGCAGUUCAUUCUGUCCGUGCCGGAGCUAACGCGUUAAAUAUGCCGCCUGGGGAGUACAGUCGCAAGGCUGAAACUCAAAGGAAUUGAC